UCCCUGAUGGUUCACUGAAUAAGAAUCUGCCUGCAAUGCAGGAGACACGGGUUCAAUCCCUGAUCUGGGAA
rnacentral:tRNA from 1 species